GUCCCAUGAUCCUUUCCCUUCUCCAGCUCUGUGUCACUUUCGCCAAUCACCUUUCCAGCUCUUAGCUACAUCCCACUCCCUCCGGUCUUCUCCUAUCAUUUUGCAUUUCCCCCUCCCCCCACUACUUUCAAAUCUCUUACUAUCUUUCCUUUCGGUUAGUCCUGAUGAAGGGUCUCGGCCCGAAACGUCGACAGUGCUUCUCCUAUAGAUGCUGCCUGGCCUGCUGUGUUCCACCAGCAUUUUGUGUGUGUUGUUUGAAUUUCCAGCAUCUGCAGAUUUCCUCGUGUUGUGCUCUUUCUUGCUUUCUCCAAGGGACCACACUGCUGUUGACUCGACAGGAAUCUCAGAGACCUCAGCCUGCACCCCACCUUCCGCUGCUGGAUCCUAGACUUCCUAUUGGAUAGCCAACAGAUGCAUCAAGCUGCCAAUCAACCUGAUCAAAGGAAGAUCUGACCUUCUGUUCUUCUACUGCGCAGCUCCACAUAUUAUCUCCUUAACCUGACACAAAUAGCAGUAGUUCACCCAGAAUGAAAUCGGUUCCUUAGUUAAUGCCACUGCAGACUGGAUAAUGGGGAAGUUCAUGCAACUGGCAAAUGUGUUCCAUGUACUGCUUCUAGCUCGAAGACCAUUGGUAACACCAGAGUGCUGGUACUAAGCAAAAUUAAACUGGUUCAGGGAGACAGAUCACAGGGGUCAAGAACAGAACAGGGAAGGGAGAGGUCCAGAGUGAAUGGCGCACUAUGAGGGAUUGCUUUACAGGGUUGAUCUCGAUGUAGAAGGAGAAACCCACAGCAAAGAUCAUGGCACAGAGAGAAGAGUCCACAGGCAAGUGUGGAGAUGCCAGAACUAGGAAGAUUAUAUAGUUUCUUGGCCCAAGAGUUUGUGUUGGAAGGAGGGCAGAAGCAGUAUCGUAGGAAGGGUGGAUCACAGUGCUGCAGAUGAAAUAGCUGGUUUACAAGCAGAGGCAAUGUGUAGCCAGGGGAGGCAGUUCAUAGGGCAAAGUUGCUGUUAACGGCAUUAAUUGCAACAUAACAGGAGGAAAAAAGCAAAAAAGGUGUUGUAUUUAAAUGCAUGCAGUGUAUUGAAUAAGGUAGAUGAACUUACUGCAUAGCUACAGAUUGGCAGGUUUGAUGUUGUAGGCAUCACUGAAUCAUGGCAGAGAGAAGAUUAUAGCUGGGAGCUUAAUGUCCAAAGAUACACAUUAUAACGAAAGGACAGGCAGGAAGGCAAAGGGAGAAACGGUACUCCAUUGGUAAAAAAUGAAAUCAGUUCAUUAGUCAGAAGGUGUUGAAUCAUUGUGAAUAUAGCUAAGGAACUGCAAGGAUCAAGCGACCAUGCUGGACGUUAUAUACAGACCCCCAAACAGUAGUAAGGAUGAAGUAUACAAAUUAAAGUGGGAGAUGGAAAAUGCAUGUCCAAAGGGCAAUGUCACAAUAGCCCUGGUGUACUUCAAUAUGCAGCUGGAUUGGGAAAUCAGGUGGGGUUGGAUUACAGGGGAGGGAAUUUCUAGAGUGCCUAUGAGAUGUGUUUGAGCCCACCAGAGGAUCAGAUAAUCUGGAUUGGGUGUUGUGCAAUGAGCCAGAAUUGAUUAGAAACCCAAAGGUAAAAUAGGCCUUAGGAGCAAGUGAUCAUCAAAUGAUCAAAUUCACCCAGAAAUAGCUAAAAUCAGAUGUACUAGUACUACAGUGGAGCUAAAAGAAUUACAGAGGCAGGAGAGAGCUAAUGAGCAGAAUUGAUUGUGAAAGAACACUGGCAGAGAUGAUGGUAUAGCAUCAGUGGUUGUAAUUUCAGAAGGCACAGGAUACAUACAUCUCAAAAAGGAAGAAAUAAAGGAAAGAUGACACAACCAUGGCUAACAAGAGAAACAAAACCCCACAUAAAAGCCAAAGAGAGGGCAGAUAAUAGAGCAAAAUCUGGUGGGAAGUUAGAGGAUUGGGAACCUUUGAAAAACCAACAGAAGGCAACUGCAAAGUCAUUAAGAAGCGAAAGAUGGAAUAUGAAAGUAAGCUAGCCAAAUAAUUAAGGAGGAUCCCAAAAGUUUCUUCAGAUACAUAAAGUGUAAAAUAAAGGUGAGAGUGGAUAUUGGACUGCUGGAAAAUGAUGAGGUAGUAAUGGGUGGGGCAAAAAAUAUCGCAGAUGAUCUGAAUGUGUGUGAAGCUAUCAUAACCAGAGAUAAAAUUCUUGGGAAACUGAAAGAUCUGAAGGUAGAUAAGUCAUCUGCACUAUAUGGUGUACACUAGAGUUAUGAAAGCUGUGGCUGGGGAGAUCAUGGAGGCUUAGAAAUGAGCUUUUAAGAAUCACUAGAUUCUGGAAUGUUUCCAGAAGUCAGGAUAACUGUAAAUGUCAACCCUCUCUUCAAGAUGGGAGAGAGGCAUAAAAAAAGGAAACUACAGGCCUAUUAGUAUGACCUCAGUGGUUAGGAAGAUGUUGGAGUUGAUUAUUAAGAAUGAGGUCUCAGGGUACUUGGAGGCACAUGAUAAGAUAGGCGACAGCAUGAUAUUUUCAGGGAAAUAUCUUGCCAGACAAAUCUGUUGGAAUUCUUUGAAGAAAUAGACAAUAGACAAUAGGUGCAGAAGUAGACCAUUCGGCCCUUCGAGCCUGCACUGCCAUUUUGAGAUCAUGGCAGAUCAAUUCCUAUCAAUACCCGGUUCCUGCCUUGUCCCCAUAUCCCUUGAUUCCCCUAUCCAUAAGAUAUCUACCUAGCUCCUUCUUGAAAGCAUCCAGAGAAUUGGCCUCCACUGCCUUCUGAGGCAGUGCAUUCCAGACCCCCACAACUCUCUGGGAGAAGAAGUUUUUCCUUAACUCAAUACUAAAUGACCUACUCCUUAUUCUCAAACCAUGCCCUCUGGUACUGGACUCUCCCAACUUCUGGAACAUAUUUCCUGCCUCUAUCUUGUCCAAUCCCUUAAUAAUCUUAUGUUUCAAUCUGAUCCCCUCUCAAUCUCCUUAAUUCCAGCAUGUACAGGCCCAGUCUCUCUAACCUCUCUGCGUAAGACAGUCCAGACAUCCCAGGAAUUAACGUCGUGAAUCUACGCUGCACUUCCUCUGCAGCCAGGAUGUCCUUCCUUAACCCUGGAGACCAAAACUGUACACAAUACUUCAGCUGUGGUCUCACCAGGGCCCUGUACAAAUGCAAAAGGAUUUCCUUGCUCUUGUACUCAAUUCCCUUUGUAAUAAAGGCCCAACAUUCCAUUAGCCUCCUUCACUGCCUGCUGCAUUUGCUCAUUCACCUUCAGUGACUGAUGAACAAGGACUCCUAGAUCUCUUUGUAUUACUCCCUUGCCCGACUGUAUACCGUUCAGAUAAUAAUCUGCCUUCCUGUUCUUACUCCCAAAGUGGAUAACCUCACACUUAUUCACAUUAAACGCCAUCUGCCAAGUAUCUGCCCACUCACCCAGCCUAUCCAAGUCACCCUGAAUUCUAACAUCCUCAUCACAUGUCACACUGCCACCCAGCUUAGUAUCAUCAGCAAACUUGCUGAUGUUAUUUUCUAUGCCUUCAUCCAAAUCGUUAACGUAAAUGGUAAACAGCUGUGGUCACAAUACUGAGCCCUGUGGCACCCCACUAGUCACCACCUGCCAUUCCAAGAAACACCCAUUCACCGCUACCCUUUGCUUUCUAUCUGCCAACCAGUUUUCUAUCCAUGUCAAUGUCAUCCCCCCCCCAAUGCCAUGAGCUUUGAUUUUACCCACCAAUCUCCUAUGUGGGACCUUAUCAAAUGCCUUCUGAAAAUCGAGGUACACUACAUCCACUGGAUCUCCCCAUCUAACUUCCUGGUUACAUCCUCGAAAAACUCCAACAGAUCAGUCAAGCAUGAUUUACCCUUGGUAAAGCAGGAUUGAGAAAGGAGAAUCGGUUGAUGUUGUGCACUUGCAUUUUCAAAAGGCCUUUGACAAGCUGCCACACAUGUGGCCACUUAACAAGCUAUGAAUCCAUGGUAUUACAAGAAGGAUUCUAGCAUUGACUGGCAGGAGGCUAAGAGUGGGAAUAAAGCAAGCCUUUUCUGGCUGGCUGCCGGUGACCUGUGCUGUUCCACAAGGAUCUGUGUUGGGACCAAUACUUUUCACAAUAUAUGCCAAUGAUGUAGAUGAUAGAAUUUACUGUUUUGUUGGAAUGUUUGCAGAGUGGCAGUCAGUUUUGAGGAAGUAGAGGAAUGACAGAAGGACAGAUGGAUUUGGAGAAUGGGCGAGGUAGUCUCAGAUGGGAUACAAUGUUGGGAAGUGUUUAGUCAUGCACUUUGUUAAAGGAAAUGGUUGAGUAUUUGCAAAAUGCAGCGCAAAGUGACAUAGGAGUCCUUGUGUAGGAUUGCCUAAAGGUUAAUAUUCUGCUUAAGGCGAGGAAGACAAAUGCAAUGUUAACAAUCUUUUCAGGAGGACUCUAACAUAAAAGCAAGGAUGUAAUGGUGAAAUUUUAUAAUGCACUGGUGGGGCCUCACUUGCAGGAUUGUGAGCAGGUUUGGGCCCCUUGUCUGAGAAAGGAUGUGCUGAGGGUUCAAAGCAGUUUCAUAAAAAUGAUUCCAGAAUUGAGCAUCCUGUCAAAUGAAGAGAGUUUGAUGGCUCUGGGCCCGAGUUCCCUAGAGUUCAGAAGAAUGAGAACUGACCUCAUUGAAACCCAUCACAUGGUAAUAGGCCUUGAUAGAGAGGAUGUGGAGAGUAUGUUUCCGAUGGUGUUAGAGUCUAAGACCAGAGCACAGUGUCUCAGAAUACAGGGGCAUCAUUUUAGAACAGAGAUGAGGAGGAAUUUUGUUCACCAGAGAGGGGUGAGUCUGUGGAAUUCAUUGGAACAGGCUGCUGUGGAGGUCAAGUCUGUAUUUAUAUUCAAGACAAAGGUUGAUAGUAUCUUGAUUAUCAGUGCAUGAAGGGAUAUCAGAUUCAGAUUCAGUUUAUUGUCAUUUAGAAACCAGAAAUGCAAUGCAGUUAAAAAUGAGACAACAUUCCUCCAGAAUGAUAUCACAAAAGCAUAUGACAAAACAGACUACACCAGAAAAUCCACGUAACGUUUGGCAAUCCCCAACCCAGAGUCAGGAGAGGCUGCUGCAUAUUAAUAUCGUGCUGCCGUCUAGUGCGUUCUCCGGAAAGGAGCUCCAAAUCCGCCAGACAAAAACAAGACCAAAAACUAAAGCUACAAGACCUGCACAAAACCACAUAAUUACAACAUAUAGUUACAACAGUGCAAACAAUAGCAUAAUUGAUAAAAAAAAAGACUAUGAGCACAGUAAAAAAAAAUAGUCCAAGAUGUUAAAGGACUGUAAGUUCAAAAGAAAUCAUCACAGUUUCCACAAGUCCCCAGGGUCCCGACAGACUCGCCAUCCCACGCCGGCAGCAGAAGGGAGUACCCCUGGGACUUCCAAGGCGCCACCCGACUCAGCCUCGCAGAUGCAGCAGACACCGAAAGUGAACUGAGUCCGUUGAAAGGACUCCGAGUCCGUCGAACCUCCGAGCCGAUGACCAUCCCCUCCGGCACAGCUUCUCCGAGCACCAUCCUUUGCUGAGCGUAUUAAGACGGCCCCGCCAAUUGCCAUUGGCAACGCGACCCUGGGGACUGGGGGCCUAUUCUUCCCGGCAGAAUCCCGGACCUCACAGCAGCAGCAGCAACGAAAGAAGGUCUUCCUGGAAUUUCCUGAUGUUUCUCUGUUCUUCCACGUCCGUUUUCAAUUGAUUAUGAUUACGCAUUGCACCCCACUUCACAAAUAUCAGAUAAUCAGAGUGGCCGCUGCAAGCUGUGUCAUGCCACCAUCUUGGAGAUGGGGAAAAGGGUGGGGAUUGGAGCUGAGAAGAAAUUUGGAUCAGCCAUGAUGAAAUGGCAGAGCAAAAUGUGGAAGAAAAUACCCAGAACCGAUACUGUAUUGAUCAAGGAAGGGUUAAUGAUCUUCAAAUGUAAAAUCAACAUCUACUGUGACUAACGUACUCUGUGCUGUGGACAAUGUGCCUUUCAGUCCGGCUGAUUAAAAUAACUAUGUACUUCUUUGUUCCAAGAAUCAUCACAUGUCUGAUAUACUCUUUUAGCCUGCCUGAUAUAGUCUUUUGAGAAUUUAACACUGAAGUAGAUGUAUAAUUGCUCAAGGACAUAUCCUGCAACUUUGCUACUCAACUGCACCGCCAUUGAAGUUCUUUCUUCUGAUCUGUGUUUUUUUUUUCGUAUGCUUGGGAUAUAAAUAACAGCAUGACCCAUUGUCAGGCAGAGUCUCAGAAAUCCGCUUUUAGGAGAUGAGUUCUCCAUGAUAUCAUGCUACAAUAAAGGAGUU